rnacentral:lncRNA from 10 species
GUGUUCUUGUAAAAGAGGCUUGAGGGAGCCCAUCUGUCCCUUCUGCCAUGUGAGGACACACAGAAGUCACCAUCUAUAAGAAACAGGCUCCCACCAGACACUGAGUCUGCUGGAGCCUUGAUCUUGAAUUUCCCAACCUCCAGAACUGUGGCCACCAGACUUUCUCUGCUUGUAUCCUCCCAGGACCACAGAACUCAUCGCAUCCCAAGGCAGCCUAUUCCAUCAUGGAUGAGCUCAAAGUGUUUGAAAGUUCUGCUUUAUCAAAAAACGUAUGAGGAAGAAAAUAGCAGAUGAGAAGAAUCAACCAAAUUCCGGAAGCUGGAAGGCAGAUGGAAGAAGGCCCUUGAAUGAUGCCAGCACCUUGAUAUUGGACUUUCCAGCCUCCAGAACCAUGAGCCAAUACAUUUCUGUUCCAUAAAAAUUACCCAGUUCCAGGUAUUCUGCUAUAGCAGCACAAAAUGGACUAAAACAAUGUUGGCACAAGACUCAGUGCUGGGCCUGGCAUGCAACAGGUCCUUGGAGUGGCGUGCUGUGUGGAUAAUGAAUAUUGGGGAAGGCAUCUCUCUCCAGCCCCUCUCAAGCUUUCUGUAGUCACUGGUCCACUCUGUAUUGCUAUGAAGAAGCUCAAGACCAGCCUGUAUCACUCGGGGUCCUGGCAGGAACCAGGUGCCACACUCAAACUGAGUAAUUGAAGAGGGUUUAAUAUGGGAGUUAUUUACAUAGGUGUGGGCUGGUGUAGCUGCCCAUAUGCCCUCAAAAUCACCUCUACAUGGCAAUAGCUACUUACUGCUAACAGAGUCUCUCUCUCAUUGCUGCAAAUAUUUUCUAGCCAUGCAAGAAACUCAGCCGGUCAUGUUGAACAAACUAAGAGUGCCAGGAAGUUAAUGUCCUGGAAGCAUUGCCAGAGGGGAGGGGGCAGUUAGAUUCCCCAGCUUCCUCGCUCCUCUGCUGGGUUAAGCCUGCAACAUAUUCAUCAUCUCCCAGAGUGCUGCCCAGGGAUAGAGCUCCAGGUGCUCAGUGUGGUGACCUGCUCAUGUCAGCUUCUUCCCCUUUCCUGUCUUGUUUCGCACCCACAUCCUUCCCAUGUUUCCUCUUCCCAAAUAAACUACUUGCAUUGAAAUCUUUGUCUCAGGCUCUGCUUCUGGGGAAACCUGAAC